CCUGGCAAUGCCUUAGCAUAGCUCUUGUAUGCCCUUUUCUGAAAGAAGAAAUGCAGAGAUCUUUUGAAAAAACACAGGUCCACAAACUUCAGUGUGUAUCUUUCAGUAAGGUCAUUUCAGGGCCAUUUAAGGUCAGCAAGGUCAGCGUCUCCACACAUUAUUCGAGCCUGCAGGAACUGCAAGCACCGCAGAACAAUGGCCUUUAGCCUCACAGCUGCGGACACUUGAUGGAUGGAUAGAAAUUCUGCGCAGCCAUGGGAGUGAACCUAAUCAGAAGCCAACAGUGUGUGAAAUGUUUUGUUACAAAACAUAUAAACCACUACCGUAUGUAGGUACAUUAUGUAAGUACAGUAUCUAUUAAACAAGCUAAACUAAUUUCUUUUUUAAUUGUACAUUUCCAUGAUUUGAUUAUAAAUAUAGUCAAGCAACUGACUAGCCUGUUAGCUAAAUCAUCAUCCCACUCUCUGGUACACAGUCCAGUCUCUCUGUAAUCCACUGCAGCAAUAGUUCAGGUUUUUCAACGUAACUGAGCCAGACUUGAGUGUCACAAACACAUCAGAGAUCAUGGACGUCCCUCUAGGAAUGAAUGGAGUGCCAGUUGAUUCCUAUACAAACACAAGUAUCUGGGAACAAGGCAUAAGACCAGUACUUUUUGUGUCCGCUAGAGUCCAUGUGGCAUAAAUUCCUGGCCAAACUGAUAAUAUUUUGUGUGGAUCCCUCUGCAGACAUUCACACGCAGCCCAAAAUUUAUCCAUGCAAGACUACUCUACAAGGACAGCGGUGUGCAUAUGCGGAGUUUGUCGAUGUGGAUUUACUGCACAUGUAUGUGACGCCCUGAAAGUGGAUUAGAAAGUAGAACAAUAACAUCAAUAUCACAUUGGUUGUGCCUGCAGCUGUUUGUGUGACGACCCACAAGGGAGCAUAAUUAAAGCUUACCACUGGCUUGUGAGACAUUUGAGGGCCCUGACCCAGAUGGUGUUUGUGUUUGUCCUAAAAAUCUAAAACUACACCAUUUAUUCCCUCAUUGUAUAUAGUCAGUAAUCAUUUUUAGCAGCUGAAUGAAGGCCUGAAUAGCUUUUUAUAGAGCAUAACAGUUGGAUAUGUUUAAAAUGAGAAUUUACCCUGCUCACUUUAGACACACUCGCCCAUCUAAGUCAUCCAUAUUGCCAUCAGAGCUCCUCAGGUCAUACCUCAUACUAUUUGAUUAGUUUGAUAAGUUUUUAAUGGCAUAACAAACCUUGAACAAAAAUCUUUAGCUUUUCAAUGAUACAUUUUAGGAGGAUACUGUUACUGUAUAUGAUGAAAAUGUCAUAAAUUCACCAGUGAGCGCUACAGGCAUCAUUAUAAUGAUUUAACACUACGGACUUACAUGUAAAACUCAUCAUAAUGGCAGAAUGUAUGUUUAUCCUUCGUCUGUUUAACAAUCUUUGUCAUCACUAAAGCCUAUUACAGCACAAUCAAUAUUGGUAAAACUGCAAAAUCUCUCUGCGAAAGCCAGAAACUGUAGCACUGAGAUUCAAAUCUGUUAUGCCAUCUGGUAAACCGCUUCUCCAGAUACAGGAAAUGCGUUGUAGAGAACUGCAUGAAGAAUUAUGAAAUGACAGAAA